rnacentral:rRNA from 1 species
UACGUAGGGGGCGAGCGUUGUCCGGAUUUACUGGGCGUAAAGCGCUUGUAGGCGGUCCACCAAGUUUGGGGUGACAGUUGCCGACUUAAUCGGCAAAGUGCCUCAAAGACUGGCGGACUUGAGGGCCACAGAGGGACAUGGAACUCCAGGUGUAGUGGUGAAAUGCGUAGAUAUCGGGAGGAACACCUGUGGCGAAAGCGGCUCACUGGACCGCAACUGACGCUGAGGCGCGAAAGCUAGGGGAGCAAACAGG